UUCCGGUUGAUCCCGCCGGACCUGACUGCUAUCGGAUUGAUACUAAGCCAUGCGAGUCUUUGUAGUAAUACAAGGCAUACGGCUCAGUAACGCGUAGUCAACCUACCCUAUGGACAAGAAUAAUCUCGGGAAACUGAGCAUAAUUCUUGAUAGAUCAUAAUGCCUGGAAUGGUUUAUGGUUAAAAUGAUUCGUCGCCAUAGGAUGGGCCUGCGGCGUAUCAGGUUGUAGGGGGUGUAACGUACCCUCUAGCCCUCUACGCGUACGGGUGUUGGGAGACAUAGCCCGGAGAUGGAUUCUGAGACACGAAUCCAGACCCUACGGGGUGCAGCAGGCGCGAAAACUUGACAAUGCGAGAAAUCGUGAUCAGGGAACUCCAAGUGGCUGGGGUAAGACCCAGUCUUUUCUUGACUCUUCAAAGGUCUUGGAAUAAGGGGUGGGUAAGGACGGUGCCAGCCGCCGCGGUAAUACCGGCGCCUCAAGUGGUAGUCGCUUUUAUUGGGCCUAAAACGUCCGUAGCCGGUCUGAUACAUUCGUGGGUAAAUCAACUAGCUCAACUAGUUGAAUUCUGCGAGGACGGUCAGACUUGGGACCGGGAGAGGUGUGGGGUACGCUCAGGGUAGGGGUAAAAUCCUGUCAUCCUAAGCGGACCACCUGUUGCGAAGGCGCCACACUAGAACGGAUCCGACGGUCAGGGACGAAGCCUAGGGGCACGAACCGGAUUAGAUACCCGGGUAGUCCUAGGUGUAAACGCUGUGGACUUGAUGUUGGGGGCGCUCCGAGCGCUUCCAGUGUCGAAGCGAAGGUGAUAAGUCCACUGCCUGGGAAGUACGGUCGCAAGGCUGAAACUUAAAGGAAUUGGCGGGGGAGCACCGCAACCUGAGGAUUGUGCGGUUUAAUUGGAGUCAACGCCGG
rnacentral:rRNA from 1 species